rnacentral:tRNA from 1 species
UGCCUGGUGGUUCAGAUGGUAAAGAGUCUGCCUGCAAUGCAGGAGACCUGGGUUCGAUCCCUGGCUGGGGAA